rnacentral:rRNA from 1 species
AAUUUUGGACAAUGGGCGCUACCCUCAUCCAGCCAUGCCGCGUGUGUGAUGAAGGCCUUCGGGUUNUCAAGCUCUUUCUGACGGAANGAAAUCGCGCAUGCUAAUACCCUUCGCGGAUGACGCUACUGUCUUAAGAAGCACCUGCUAACUACGUUCCAGCAGCCGCGGUAAUACGUAGGGUGCGAGAGUUAAUCGGAAUUACUGGGCGUAAAGCGUGCGCAGGCGGUUGAUUAAGACAGGAGUGAAAACACCGGGAUUAAACUAGGAACUGCGGUUGUGACUAGUCAGCUAGAGUACGGCAGAGGGGGGUGGAAUUCCACGUGUAGCAGUGAAAUGCGUAGAGAUGUGGAGGAACACCGAUGGCGAAGGCAGCCCCCUGGGCAGAUACUGACGCUCAUGCACGAAAGCGUGGGUAGCAAACAGG